GUCCAUUUGGCGCAAUGGUAGCGCAUUCCUCUCCUAUGUACGCCCGAAGGAAAGGUUGCGGGUUCGAGUCCCGUAAUGGAUG